CUCCACACAAACCAUACAGCACCCUGUCCCUAAAAGCCGCCCACUAAAACAUCCUAAUCCCAAGGGAACAACACCCAAACAGCUGAAAAAUCCAUUAAAACUCGAUUUUUUUUUUGCCCUGAGCAGGCAUCUAAAGCCUCACCCAGAGCAGGAGAUGCCUGGCCUGGUUUGUGGAUGAUUAUUCCCCCAAACAAACCCACCAAGCUCCACUGCUCAUCCUCAGUGCUGACAGGCACCAAGGUUAAUUGGUCACAAUUGCAUCCCCCAAUUCCCAGCCCAGAGAAGUGCCAGGAGCCAGAGGUAAAUCACACAACCAACCCACUUGCUGCCUCCGAGUUUAAAUAAAUAGAAAUCCCAGGCUAAUUAAUAUUUAGGAAAUGCAAAAGUUGUCAUCUUAAAUCAGGCUGAAACACAAUAAUCACAUUAAGUGCUUACUUCAGCAAAAUAGCCCUGAAAUGCAAAGUGUUGGUGAGUUAUGGGAGUAUUUAUCCCCUUAAUUGACUCCUGGCUCUGGCAGAACUCCAUUACCCAGGAGUUAGGAGGAAAUUUAAUUCCAAUCCUCGUGUCUGCACUCAAGGACUUCUGUUGGACUUGGGUUUAUUUUCAGCUGCAGCACUGAAGGGCUGCAUUUUUCCAGUUGCAAUCCUGCUCAGUUGAGCAACAAAUGUGACAUUUCGUGUUUCAUCUGCUGACCUUCCGCUCAUAUCUGGGAAAUUUUUCAUCCUGUUCUCCUUCUGUUUUCCCUUCCAGGUGUCCUUUAAGGCAAGAAGGAACUCGGUGUUUUAGCAGGGAGAGUCUGCAACAGAUUCCUAACCAGGCUGGCCCUGGACCCCUGGAAGUGUCCAAGCCCAUUUUUAUACCUCUCUGGUUCUUGUUAGUCGACCUCCAGCAAGAGGAAAAUUGAUCAGAACUUCCCCAAACCAGCCUUGGUUUGCUCCAAGGAAAAGGCCAGGACCUUAGCAACCAACAAUUUAAUCGGGAAAAGAAAUUCUAUCUCGACUGAGAAAGGGAAUUUUUUCUUCAUGGAGAAAAUAAAUUUUUUGUAGCUCCUUUUCUGCAUGGUCCAGGCUCAGGAGAACAAAUCCCUCGCACUCCACAUGAAAAAUGCACUUUUUGAGGCUGCCCAGGUGUAACAGCACUCGUUGGUUUGAUGGCCACAGCUGUCCCUUUCUGACGGAAAAUUUGUGCUGAUUUCACGGUGGCUGCUUGGAGAAAAGUCACCACACGUUACGGUUGUUUCAUAGCUGGGGGGCAAGCGGAGAAAAUUAUUUAAUUAGGUUUCUGUAAUAACAGCUCCAUUUCCAAAUGGCUGCCCAUGUGUAUUAGCAGGGAAGGAUUUCAAUUACUCUGUUUCCUUUAAUUCUGGGAUUUUUAACGCCGGUGGAGGCAAAGAAAGGCUGAGAUCAAAAACUAAACCGGGAACUCUUUGUCCGCAGAAUGUAUUGAAUAUAUUAAAUUAAUGUAUCCGUGGAUGCAUGGAGCAUUUCACACUUCAUCUCCCUGCAGCCACAUCCACGUGCAAAACCCAAGCUCAGACCAGAAUGAGGGUUGGAAUUCCAACUUCUCCAAAAUUCCAUCCCAGCCAGGAAUUCCUUCCCAAAAUCCCAUCAAACCCUGUACCCCAGCAGUGGGAAGCCAUUCCCUCUUUUCCUACCCCAGGUCUGGACUCCACAGCCCAAAAUCCUCUCUUGGAGUUCAAAGUUCUCGACUCCACAGCCCAAAAUCCCCUCGUAGAGUUCAAAGUUUCACAUUUACAACACAAGAACAUCAAAGCUGUUUUAUUUAAGAAUAUGCGGAACUGGAAUGCUGUGCAGUUAAUGAACAUCCUGGUGGGAGGAAUGAGGCAGAUCCGGGAGGAUUUAACAGCACCUGAGCAGGCGGGGCGGCUCAGCCAUGUGUGUGUGCUUGUGUUUGUGUUUCCCAGGCUCUAAAAUCAGGAUUUGUUUUAUUUUAUGCACCUGCAAUGUGUCAUUUUUUUACUUUUCCUGUGCUGUGUCUCUCUUUCUCUCUCCUCGGCUUUGUUGGGAACUCUCUGUUCCUGACAGCCUUCCCCUGGGAGCAGCCGGUGCAGGGGAGACAGAGGUUGUGUCUUUCCCUGGCUGUGUUUUCCCUGUCGGAUGAUGGAUGUCACCAAGCUCCUGGUGGCACUCUCACUGUCCUGGCAUGUCUGGUUAUCUCGGCUGUUUGAGGGGCCUGGAAAGGCCCGAGGUGGCUUUGGGGGAGCCCGUGUAUCGAAGGA